CGUUUAUUUAGAUUAUGAAGAAGAGGAAGAAAAAUUAAACCAGGUAAAUUAAAGCAAUAUCAAAGCAACAAGACCGGCCCUACCAACUGAAAACGCCGCAAAUAUAUAACAACGUUUCUCUUCGGUGGAACAGCCCGCCAUUAAUAAUGAUCGCUCCCUAAACGUUGAAAGACUGAAAGUACGUAAAAAUUAUCUUCUAACUGAACGCCGCAAAUAUAUAACGUUGAUAUAUUUGUCAGAGUAUGUGUUUCUAUGUGUCUGAGUAUGUGUUUGUAUUAAUCUCGUACCUAGAGCCAUCUUUGAGUUGCUCUGGCCACACGGGUUUGAACAAUGAUCUUGAUUGGUCGAUCCACGACCCAUAACUCUGCAGCGUUCAAGAGCGCGACCAAUAUCAGUGAAUAGAUUCAUGCCUUGCCGGUAAUUCGACAAUGAAACGUGCUAUAACACUUAACAAAAUUUCCAAUAAAGCUGUUUCACAUUUAUGUUCAUCUGAAUAACCCGGGGAACACUCAUGAUAUCUAGCCAUUACCCGUCCAGUUUAAUUCAACGUGGAUCCAGGUGGUGAUUGUCAAUAAAAUGGGCACCUACUACUGAUUCUGACAAUCCAUCCACAACAAGGAACGUUCAUAUAGUUUAUAGUUCCACAGAUUUUAGUUGGACCUCUACCUCCUCUUUCACUGCGAUGGGUUAAUGAAUGAAUGACAUACGUCGUGAGGCACGCAACAAAAUUAACAGCUAACUCUAAUCUCGUAUUUCUCAACCAUGUUAAAGUAAUCCAUUUGCGACUUCCUUUUGAGGAAAAUAACGACUUUGGAGAUGGCUGCGAUGAACAGUUACCCUUUAAUAGCAUCCCAACCAACAAAGUGUCGAAUGACAUGGUUUUUGGCGGUUGCAGUGAGGAUAUGAAUGCAAGUGCCCAGCAAGAACAGUCGGUUGAAAUAAUGUAGAAACAUGUUCAGGCAAGUACGUAUAAAACGUACCGAGGCCUGUUGUAUAAAAACGUUAUUAAAGUUAAAUGUAAUUUGCAAUAACUACCGUUGUUAGCAUAGGUAAUAGGAUGGUUUCGAGUACGUGCAUGCAAUUUGGAAACAAAACAUGCAUUAGUGAUUUUGUGUGUUUGGUGUUAUGUACUCAAGUGAAUAUGAUGUUUGUGGUGUUACUCUGAGUGUGCACCCACUGCACCGGACAAGCUGAAUAGUUAGCUUGGGUACGGUGGGAAUCGAACCCGCGACCUUUGCCACGGGGAAACUAGUCCAAUGCUCUGCCAACUGAGCUAUGUGGUCAAGUUGGUUCGAGUUCAUGAUACUUCGGAACUGAGUCAAUCCCUUCGCUUUCAGUGUAUUCUAUGAUAUGAUUAUUGUUUAACAUCACUAACAUGCAAGAGUGAGUUUUUCAAAGAGCAUCAAAACAGCGCGAGUCCAAAGGACGAGUGUUGUUUUUGAGGUCUUUGAAAACUCACGAGUGCCUGUUUUAUCCUAGCCUGCGUGCAGGCCCAAGGGAACUUGAUAGUGGGCCUGCAACCAUCGCCCGGUAUUUUCAAAUACGCCCCUUUUCAUAACACGCCCCAUUCGCCCGUCAAUUGUCAAAAAAGAACCAAUGACAGCACCCAAAUAUUAACAAACAAACUCGCAUUAAAAUAUUGCGGGGUUUUCUCUGCUUAUUCAGAACACUAAUAAACAAUGUGUAAAUGGCUGCGUUUUAACUCCAAAAAAGCAAGCAACGCAGUCAGUAAUUGCCAAAUUUGCAAGUGCUCAUUUUCAACUAAAAUCGGAACAGGCAAAUUAAGACGAAUUUCAACCGAAAACCAGUCUCAAACUUCAAAUCGUGAGGGAAGUCGUGCGACCACAUCAGCAUUUAUAAUGUGUGCUUUGCUGUCGCCAUUGUUAUAAAUAAAUUGUCUCACUUAUCAGAUCAUGUGUGCAAUUCUUGUUGGCGGCGGAAAGUACGAAAUUUGUUUCAGUUAUUUCAUUUGGUGAGAACUCUGCACAAGAAGAGAGCGUUCAGAGUCCAGAUCGUUUCAAACGGCAAUUUAAAAGAACAUAUAACGUAUCAAGUCUGUUUGAAAUUAAUGAAACUCAAGUAAAGGUUACUAUAGUUUACCCCAGUCGUAUUAAAUGUUGCUAUUCCAACACCUCACGACAAGCAAUCCUCAUUGGCAUAACGGCAAAAACAUUUCUUCCUUCAAGUAAACAAUAAACAGUCUGUUCUUGUUCCAUUUGUAAUCGAAAAAAGUGAUCAAUUUUCGAAUUUUAAGCUUAUCGAGAGCCUUUGUCUAUGCCUUUGUGAUGAAUCACUGUUCCCUUGUGCCUGCACAAUGGGCUAGGUUAAUUAAUUACCGAUCGCCUCAGCUAGCCAAUGGGAAUUUAGCCGGCGGUUCGGCCGGCGAAAAUCGAAAACAUCGGGUGCUGGUUGCAGGCCCACUAUCAAGUUCCCUUGGGCCUGCACGCAGGCUAGUUUUAUCCAUAGUAUGUAUGUGUAUGUGUGUUAACAAAUUAUGUAUUAAUAAUAUACAUUGUUUAACUUAGGUUUAUCGGGAAUCAUCCAGUACCAAAGUUUUCCGGGCUUUGUUAUAUUUCGUUAUACAACGCUGACAGUUUAAUCGAAAAUUCCACUCAACUAUGUACGUUUCGUUAGUCUUGUUUUAGGUAAAGGUUUUUCCUUAUAAAAAGAUAAAAGCAAUACUUUCAAUUACAACCAAAUUCAACGUUUACUUUAUGUUUUGCGUCGUCAUGUUUGUUUUGUUUUGAAGCAAACUGUGACUGUUACUUCAGAACUGCAUGCUUUAAACUGAAUGGUUGAUCUUAUCAUCACAUUGUUUUCCCACCAAUUAGAUCAGUUUGUUUCCGGUUUUUGCGCUGUGAUAACUGAAAAUUGCACUGCGAUUACAAAAAUUGCAUUUUCAUUACAUUUCUGUUUGAGAUUAAAUGAACCAAUCACAGUCGAGUAAUAUUUUAUAUAUAUUAUUAUACAAGAAAUAGAGAAAUCAAUUUCACAUUACCUAAGCCAAAAACGAACAAUAUGAAAAAGGCAUUUGCCUAUACAGAGGUGUUGAGGCUUGGAAUAACCUUUCCACUGCAAUCAAAUCAUCGAAAAAUAUCUCUAGCUUUGAAACAAAAAUGAAGCGAAUAUACUAAAACUGGCAAUUUAUUUCCAGCUUUUGAAUUAAUUUGAAAACCAUUGAUAACUUCAGUGAAGAUCGCGAUUUUAUAUAUUAUUAGUAUAAUUACAUAGGUGAUUAUUGAAAAUCCUCCACGCUGAUUGGUUGCCGUUGAGGUGAUUAUUACGCGAUAAUCACCUAAGCGAUUUUCAAAAUGGCGGCCGAAGCCUUUUUGUCAAUUAAAUGACGAAGAAAUGUGUAUUUUCUUAUUUUUUUCAAAUAAUCACCAAUGAAAUUAUACUAAAACAAUUAUUCACCUCAGGCUCGGUGAUUAUCGUGAAUAAAAACCUCGACUUCGUCUCGGUUUUUAUUCACCGAUAAUCACCUCGCCUUCGGCGAAUAAUUGUUAAAUAUACUUCAAAAAUUCAUUAAUAAUUCACGAGGAAAAUGCAAAAGAAUUGAAUGUUUAAUCAAUGUUUGUAAAUCGCAUAAAGAUUUGUCCUGAUUUACAUAAACUUCAGCAUUGAUUUUCUCGGCUUAGACAAGGUUUAUUUUUAAAUUUACUUCGCCAAUGAACUCAUAAGAUGGGUCAUUUUUUAAGUACGACAAAACAUUCGCAGCCUAUCUGUAUCUGUAUACAAACUCUCGCCUUCUGUUCGAGUUUGUAUAUCAGAUACAGAUCGGCUGCUCAUGUUUUAUCUAGUACUUAUAACUAAUUAAAAUUGUUUGAAAAAAAACUAAGUGUACUAGUAUUGGAGACAGAAACUCUUAACGGAGAAAAGCCACGCGCAAGCCAUUCCCGCUCGAAAAUCUAAAAUACGAAGGCAUUAAUUGCGGUAAUAUUAUGAGAAGACGCUUGUAAGACAAAUCUGUAUUUUUAGGUACCUUUGUAGAGUUAACAAACGAUGAUGGCGUAGUUUGUGCAGCGGCCUAUAUGACAGGUUUUAACGUGGUGCACAAUCGAUACCUGUCUGUUUUGGUGACAUCUAUACGGUUUCGGUCCACCAUGGCCCAUUUUUUUCGACGACGUUACAAUAGAAGAUGGUGGAUUUUAUGCUUGGCCGUUUAUCACGAAUACGUUCUAAACAAAUUAUUGUACCUUUUUGUAAUUGUAAUAUUUUUG